rnacentral:tRNA from 1 species
CAGGUGGCGGAAUCGGUAGACGCAGCGGACUUAAAAUCCGUUGUCCGCAAGGACGUGCGGGUUCAAGUCCCGCCCUGGG